rnacentral:rRNA from 1 species
GAUGAACGCUAGCGAUAGGCUUAACACAUGCAAGUCGAGGGGCAGCACAGGGUAGCUUGCUAUCUGGGUGGCGACCGGCGCACGGGUGCGUAACGCGUAUGCAACUUGCCCUAUACAGGAGGAUAACCCGUCGAAAGACGGACUAAUACUGCGUAUGCUCACAACUUGGCAUCAAGUGGUGAGGAAAGAAAUUCGGUAUAGGAUAGGCGUGCGUCCCAUUAGCUUGUUGGUGAGGUAACGGCUCACCAAGGCAACGAUGGGUAGGGGAACUGAGAGGUUUAUCCCCCACACUGGUACUGAGACACGGACCAGACUCCUACGGGAGGCAGCAGUGAGGAAUAUUGGUCAAUGGGCGCGAGCCUGAACCAGCCAAGUCGCGUGAAGGAUGACUGUCUUAUGGAUUGUAAACUUCUUUUAUACGGGAAUAACAAGAGUCACGUGUGACUCCCUGCAUGUACCGUAUGAAUAAGCAGCGGCUAACUCCGUG